GCGUCCGUCGUAUAAUGGUUAUUACCCCAGCCUUCCAAGCUGGAGAUGUCGGUUCGAUUCCGAUCGGACGCU
rfam:Spirochaeta sp. JC230 contig71, whole genome shotgun sequence.